GAUGCAGAGACCCACAGCCAGUCAGUAUGUGGAGAGAGUCUACAUGUGAUAUGUCCAUUAAAUCCCUCCCCUCAGAGCUCACGGAACCAUGAAGAGAAGAGGUGAAAGGCGUGUAAGAUCCUGAGGGGAUAGAGGACAACAGAAGAACAAGGCCCUCUGAGCCAACUAGCCAAGUGAACAAUGAAUAGAUGGCUUGCUGCCCUUUCAUAUAAGAGAUCAAAAAGAAAAUGCAAAAAUUAAUACUAAAAGCUGAUAAAGAAAAAUGUCAAACCGCAUGAAAAGACACAAGGAACAGAAUUUUACCAGGCCACUUUGUUCUGCUGCACAGAUGAGGACGUCUGGGUAACCAGUGAUCCCUGCACAUGAGAGAUUGUUCAGAAAGCACCUGGAUUUCUAACAUAGUACUGUGCUCAAUAGAUGAAGAGAAAACAAAACACAGGAUUCUACAAAUGACUCCCCAGCUGUAAUGCAGGGUCAGAAUACUGAAAAUAUUUAGGAAGCAUUUUCAGUUAGUGUCACUUGAAUCUCACUUCCAAGCACAGCUCAGUCAAAUCUCAGGGGCAGAAAUGUAAAUGCAUGACUGGGAUGAGAAUAUCAUACACUAGUGAGGUUAUGAAUUGAUCAUGGACCAAAAGUUAUGGAAGCCCUACACCUCUGAAAAGGACUCACAAGAAGAGAACAUUUCAUGACAAUCUUCUUUGUUCCGCUGAGGAUUUCACUUUAUUCUGUGAGGCGUGAGACUCCUUCACACACAGCUCACACACAUGCAGACUAGUUUUUCUAGGAAUCCUGAGAAGGAGCAAGGGAGACUGCAAACAAACUAUUCUCACCCACAGAAACCAAACUACUGCAAUUCUGAAACAGUCACUCUGUGUACAAAGCCCUCUGA